rnacentral:tRNA from 1 species
GGUCUAUUAGUCUAGUUGGUUAGGACGUCGGAUUCUGAUCCCUAGAAUCAGUUCCUUCCGUAAGCCCAGGUUCGAAUCCUAGAUGGACCU